GUGUCAGCAGCCGCGGUAAGACGAACCGUGCGAACGUUGUUCGGAAUCACUGGGCUUAAAGGGCGCGUAGGCGGCUUGCCAAGUCAGGGGUGAAAUCCUCCAGCUCAACUGGAGAAGUGCCUUUGAUACUGGCGAGCUCGAGGGAGGUAGGGGUGUGUGGAACUUCUGGUGGAGCGGUGAAAUGCGUUGAUAUCAGAAGGAACGCCGGUGGCGAAAGCGACGCACUGGACCUCUUCUGACGCUGAGGCGCGAAAGCUAGGGGAGCAAACGGGAUUAGAUACCCUGGUAGUCC
rnacentral:rRNA from 1 species